CCUACGGGGGGCUGCAGUGAGGAAUAUUGGUCAAUGGGCGCAAGCCUGAACCAGCCAAGUCGCGUGAGGGAUGACGGUCCUAUGGAUUGUAAACCUCUUUUGUCGGGGAGCAAGGCCCGCCACGUGUGGCGGGAAGGAGAGUACCCGAAGAAAAAGCAUCGGCUAACUCCGUGCCAGCAGCCGCGGUAAUACGGAGGAUGCGAGCGUUAUCCGGAUUUAUUGGGUUUAAAGGGCGUGUAGCCGGGCUGACAAGUCAGAUGUGAAAUCCGGGGGCUCAACCCCCGAACUGCAUUUGAAACUGUUGGUCUUGAGUAUCGGAGAGGCAGGCGGAAUUCCUAGUGUAGCGGUGAAAUGCGUAGAUAUUAGGAGGAACACCAGUGGCGAAGGCGGCCUGCUGGACGACAACUGACGGUGAGGCGCGAAAGCGUGGGGAGCAAACAGGAUUAGAUACCCCAGUAGUC
rnacentral:rRNA from 1 species